rnacentral:lncRNA from 1 species
GGCACGGUCAGCUGCCGCGAGCACCUCUUUCCGCGAUACUUCUAAUGCGGACCUGAAUUCCCACCAUGAACCCCAAAGCCAAUGUCGAAUUUAUGAUUCCCUCAUAUACCGAAUGAGGUUGGAAGCACGCAACAUAUCAUGAGGUAAUUUGAUGUCGUCCACAGGUUAUAGAAUUAAUCUAAAUUCAAAAAUUUAAGCUGUACAUGGGCUGCCAAACCAGGAGGCAAGACGAGCACCUCUGCGUGGUCUGUACUUCGAGCUGCAUCGUCAAUUUGGAAAGAGAUUCAUUUUUGUCUGAAACCUGAACCCAUACAUCAAAAUAGCCAAUAUUACGGUCAAUGCCGUUGCUCAGCACUAAAAGAUCUGAUGCACAACAAUGUAUAGUAUGAUAAGGUUUACCUCCUGUUCUAAAGCACUAAGCCGAAUAAGAUGACGGUUUGAUUCUUUUUCCACUUCGUUCUUCUCUGUUUCCAGGUUACGCUUCUCUUUUCUUAAACGAUCGCCUUCCUGAUUUUAAGAGCCAGAUCCACAAUGAACAAAGACACACAGUAGUAUACGAUGCUAUGAACUAUAGGGUGCCAAACAGGAAAAGUUCAAAGACAUGCUUAUUAAAGCUGCUAGAACUCUGCAAAAUAUUCUUAAACUACAGCAAGGAAAACACCAGAACUGUAGAGGACAUUGUUGACAGGUAAGACCUCGGCUUCGAUACCGCAUAUGAAUACAGUGAUCAUGUUGAGAGGAGAUGCUUAAUUGAUAACCAAGGUGAUCCUACCCUUGUAUAAUUGGACGUACCUGCGUCUUUUCCUCCAGGUCUCUUUCAAGAGACAUGCACUUAUUUUUCAGCUCUGUGAUCUUGUUAUCAGUUUUGUACUUCGUAUCCAGUAAUGACCGCACCUACACUUCCGAACGUAACCGAGAAUUUAACUUUGAAGCAUUCUAUUGAUUUUGGAUUGAGUAUUUAUAAAGUAGUUUUUCGAGUAAGAGGACAGAUUCGAAUCAAAAGUCUUGGAUGUAGAUAAUCGUGUAAUGAACCUGGCUAUCUAAAUCAGAAGCCCUUUGUUGCUGUUGAUCAAUUUGCUGCCUAAGACGGGUCUCCAACUCUGUGCGUUCCUUUUCAAGCCUAACUUUGAGCUCCGUUGUCUCCUGCAUGAACUACAAAACAGAACCAAACAAAACAACUUUCCAAGUCUCAAACAGACAUUCGCUUUUCGUAGUUAAGCAUUCAGCAACCGCUUCUCG